rnacentral:rRNA from 1 species
UACGAAGGGGGCUAGCGUUGCUCGGAAUCACUGGGCGUAAAGGGUGCGUAGGCGGGUUUUUAAGUCAGGGGUGAAAUCCUGGAGCUCAACUCCAGAACUGCCUUUGAUACUGAAGAUCUCGAGUCCGGGAGAGGUGAGUGGAACUGCGAGUGUAGAGGUGAAAUUCGUAGAUAUUCGCAAGAACACCAGUGGCGAAGGCGGCUCACUGGCCCGGUACUGACGCUGAGGCACGAAAGCGUGGGGGAGCAAACAGG